UGAAAACUUAAAACUUAAAAGACUUGACGGUGCUCCACACCAACCUAGAGGAGCCUGUCAAUAACCGAUAAUCCACGAUUAACCCCACCCCCCCUAGCCAACAGUCUAUAUACCGCCGUCGCCAGCUUACCUUGUGAAAGAAACAAAGUGAGCUCAAUAACAUACAAUGCCAACACGACAGGUCGAGGUGUAACUUAUGGGGGGGGAAAGAUGGGCUACAUUUUCUAACUCAGAAAAUACGAACCAACCAUGAAACUGGAAACCAAAGGCGGAUUUAGCAGUAAGACAGAAAUAAAAUGUCUGUCCGAAAUAAACGCAAUGAAGCACGU
rnacentral:rRNA from 1 species